UUGACAGUCCCAGAAAUUGAAGUCCUCCGUUUAGUCACAGAGCAGGGAUGGCAUAACUGGGGCAAUGAAAGCUUCCCCCUCACUACCCUGCCAAUGUGCCUCAAGCCUAUUCUGGACAGAAUACCUGCUCACGGGGGACAGAGGAAAGCUCAGUAUCCAAUGAGUCUCCUUGGCUUCC
rnacentral:sRNA from 1 species